rnacentral:piRNA from 1 species
UGCAGCUGACGCCUUUUCUGUGU